GUGGUGAAAUCUCAUAGCUUAACUAUGAAACUGCCAUUGAUACUGCAGGWCUUGAGUAAAUUUGAAGUGGCUGGAAUAAGUAGUGUAGCGGUGAAAUGCAUAGAUAUUACUUAGAACACCAAUUGCGAAGGCAGGUCACUAAGAUUUAACUGACGCUGAUGGACGAAAGCGUGGGUAGCGAACAGGAUUAGAUACCCUGGUAGUCCACSCCGUAA
rnacentral:rRNA from 1 species